UACGUAGGUGACCAGCGUUGUCCGGAUUUACUGGGCGUAAUGAGCGCGCAGGCGGUCGUUCAAGUCGAGUGUGAAAGCCCCCGGCUCAACUGGGGAGGGUCAUUCGAUACUGAUCGACUCGAAGGCAGGAGAGGGAAGUGGAAUUCCCGGUGUAGUGGUGAAAUGCGUAGAUAUCAGGAGGAACACCGGUGGCGAAGGCGGGUCUCUGGGCAUGAUCUGACGCUGAGGAGCGAAAGUGUGGGGAGCGAACAGG
rnacentral:rRNA from 1 species